rnacentral:rRNA from 1 species
GUGGGGAAUUUUGGACAAUGGGCGCAAGCCUGAUCCAGCAAUGCCGCGUGCAGGAAGAAGGCCUUCGGGUUGUAAACUGCUUUUGUACGGAACGAAACGGCUCUGGUUAAUACCCGGGGCUAAUGACGGUACCGUAAGAAUAAGCACCGGCUAACUACGUGCCAGCAGCCGCGGUAAUACGUAGGGUGCAAGCGUUAAUCGGAAUUACUGGGCGUAAAGCGUGCGCAGGCGGUUAUAUAAGCAAGUUUUGAAAUCCCCGGGCUCAACCUGGGAACUGCAUUUGUGACUGUAUAGCUAGAGUACGGUAGAAGGGGAUGGAAUUCCGCGUGUAGCAGUGAAAUGCGUAGAUAUGCGGAGGAACACCGAUGGCGAAGGCAAUCCCCUGGACCUGUACUGACGCUCAUGCACGAAAGCGUGGGGAGCAAACAGGAUUAGAUCCCCUGUAGUCC